UUUUUUUAACGUUUAAAAAGUCCUUUUCCUCCGUUAAGAAAGUUGAAAUUUUUAGAUUUUUCCAAGUCAAAAGUGCUUUUAGCUUGUUAAUUACUUUUUUAUCCUUAUUUUUCACGGUAUAAUAAUUUCUUCAUUUUUUUCUUCUCUCUGGUUCUCUUUUAUUUCCUUCCAUUCUUCCAUUUUCUUCUGAAGGUGAGCUUCCACGGUAUAACAAUUUCGUUUUUGGUUUCGCAUUUCCUUCCAUCGGUGAGCUUCUUCUCUUCUACACCCAUUUUUUCUUCUUUUCAUGUUUGAUCAUCAAUUUGGCUGUAAACCCAUCUUUAAUUAUGCUUAUUUACCUGCUUUUUUUUUCCUUCACACACUGACAGACCGUAAUUUAAGGAUCAAUCAAUGGUUUUUGCCUUUCUCCCUAAUUAUAUAAUUUUUCAACUUAGUACUAUAAUUACAUCCUUGCUAACUUGGUUGGUUUUGAAGAGAUGAUUACAUGAUUAACCUAUGUUGAGUUAAUGUAUAUAUUGGGUUUUUCGGCAAGCCAAGAUUCUAGGAGUUCAUCAAUAAUUAUAGAACCAAUUAUUGAUAAGCAAGUAAUUGAAGUAGCUAAUUAUACAAAAUGAUUGACUGCCAUAGAAAUACGUAGUUCAUUGCUAAAGAAUUUUCAUUUCGGUGAAUACUAAUAUUAAAACUAAGUUAUAUGGUGAUCUUACAAUGUUCUAUUGAAUAGUUUUUCGAGAACUAACUUGGUGAGGACAAAAGUAAGCAAUUACGCUAAUGUUCUAUUUUUUAGCCAAUUUGCAAUCUUUAGGAAUAUAAACAAAGUUAAUUCCAAACUUGCUCUCAAAACUGAACUUUUCCAUGAUUUGUUUUGUAUAAGAGACAAUUUUAUUCAAUUUUACUCCUGUUUAGACAUUUUUACCUUAAAUUAUUGCAGUCAUAGAAAUCUCUGCGUCUAUAAAUAUCUAUUUGUUUUAAAAUUGUUUCAGUGGUUUAUAAACCGUGCAGACUCCCAAAAUUUGACAUGGUUGCUUAUUUUUCAUCUUUUUUAUGAUUACAUCUUUAGCAUGUCUUACCUUUUAUUAAUUUUAAUUUAUAUUGUGUAAUUUCUUUUAAGAUUAUUCCUUUAGAGAACAAAUAAAAUUUUGGUUUAGUUUAAAAUUUUUAUGUUAUUAAUAUGCUUUUCGGUAUUUUCAUAACUUGUGCAGAAAAUUAAAUUUGGAUACAAAGAUUUGUAAUUUUGCUUUAAAGAAUUUGGAUAUGUAGUUUUUUGGAGAAAAGAUUAAUUCAUAUUUCAUAAUUCUUUUAAAUAUUAACUUUGGUAGAUUGUGUGAAUCUUUUAGUCUGGGACAAGUAGCCCUAGGGCUUCCCCACCUGUAAGAAUUAUUCAAGAGUCCACUGGUGGCUUUCGUUUCAAAGGGUGCUCGGAAUAAUUAUGGACAAAUGCAAUGUACAAAAAUAUAUUGUUUCCCCUCAUAAAAUAUUUCUGUAGGAAGGUUCCUACAUCCUUCGUCACCAGUGUUAUGAGCAAGGCUUCAUUAUACCCAUUUUAUAUAUACACCAAUUAUGAUUAA